AAUCAAUAGCAAGAUUCAGCAACUUUACUUUCAUGAACUUUUUAGAGGACCACAAAAAAGUGAUGAUCAUGAAAGAGGAUGAUGCAUUAGGAGAAAGCUACUCCAAAUUACUACUUUUUCCCUAGGCUUUUCAAAUCUUCGAAAAAAGCAUAAGUACAAUACUAUACACAAGCUUUAACUAUCCACUAAGGACAGGACUGACCAAGCUCUUUUUCAUAUGGGCUUAAUUGACCAACCUUGACUGACUAAUCUUCAAGAUUUCCAUACUACUCUCUGAAGUGCUUCUCUAAUUGUUCCGACUGCUAGUGUUUUCGAUCCGGUUGA
rnacentral:misc_RNA from 1 species